GGGUGGGGGGUAGCUUUAUUAUGUUAAUUGAGACCCACCCACUGUGGGUGACACCAUUCCCUAGCUGGCUCUUGGGCUGUCAUAAUGAAGAAAAGAUGCUGGACAGGAGCAAACAUUCCUUUCUCUGCUUCCUGAGAUGCAGUGUGAUUAGCUGCCUCAGACGGCUGCCUCGACUUCCCUGCCAAGGACAUGAGACUGAGCAAAAUUUAAGAGAACUUGUAGUGAAAGCCAUGCCGUGUGGUUCUGCUCACCCCUGGAGACUGAGUGGCAGAAGGUAUCCAGACUCCCUCGGGUCCCCUCAAACUGUGCAACACAGGAAACAGAGUCACAGACUGGAUUCUGCACCAGAGAAUCCUUUUGUCACACUCUGUACAUCAUCACAGGCUGCCAGACAUGUCAGGACUCAGGGGCUUUGCAGAGCUGAGAGUUCCUGUCACUUAGAGAGGAGGAGACUGUCUGUGAGUGGCUGGCGGCUCUCUGGCACACAGCUAGUUAACACCAGCGCUGACCUUCCACAGAGAAGCUCUCCAGCAGGUUAAGGAACCAUGCUGUCUCGGAGUUAAUUCUCCAUCAAGGACUUUGCUGCCCUAUGUCACCACCAUCAUUGGCACAUUUGAGGAGCUGGGGACGGAGCCUUGGACCUCAUGCAUGCUGGCCAAGUGUGAAGCUACCUGCCCAUCUUUUAGUGCUGCUGUCUUCUAUGGAGGCUGACGAAUUCCAGCGAUGAGACCCUGUAGUGAUCAGUAGCUCCGGAGUUGAUGAGUCUGGACUUUCUUCAUCCCUCAGGGACAAAGAACUUGUUUAUGGGAAUCUGGGGGAGGUGGGGGGGGUUGAGCUGCCUGGGAUGAUGGAUGGGCCUCCACCCCACCCCCAUCACAGCAGCUCUGGUAGUAUUCAUGGGAUGCCCGCAGCCUCAACCAGGACACAAUGGUGGGGAAUCAUCACCAGAGUUCCAUCUAGGACACACAGGCCAGGGGAAGCACCCCCCAUCUCGUGAGACCGAAUUCUGCCUCAGUAUCAUUCUGUCGUCAGUAAUGAGAAAUAUCAAGUCCGUUUUAAUCUAAAGCCGUGGUGGACGGAGCACUAGCAGAUUUCAAAAGCGCCUCUCUCUUCAGUCACGGAAUACAUGUGACAAAGAGAGCAGGACAGGACUACUGGGGGGGCAGCUGGAGGGGACAACAGGCACAGGGGAGGGCAAAGGAGGGGAUAAAUUUGAGUACAGUCUGAGGACACAUGUGUAAAAAUACCAGUAAAGUCUGUUGCUUUGUAUGUCAACU